rnacentral:rRNA from 1 species
UACGGAGGGUGCAAGCGUUGUCCGGAAUCACUGGGCGUAAAGGGCGCGUAGGCGGCUCGGUAAGUAGGGGGUGAAAUCCUGCGGCUUAACCGCAGGGCUGCCUUCUAAACUGUCGAGCUCGAGCACGGUAGAGGCAGAUGGAAUUCCUGGUGUAGCGGUGAAAUGCGUAGAGAUCAGGAAGAACAUCGGUGGCGAAGGCGCUCUGCUGGACCAUAACUGACACUCAGGGACGAAAGCUAGGGGAGCGAAUGGG